AUGAAGCUUUGGGACCGGGAGUGCAUGCAGACAUUUGAGUUUAAGGAUCAAUUUAUUACUGAAAUAUAUCAUGCCACAUUUAACCCAAAUGACACAUUUGCUACAGUGUCAUUUUACAACGAAAAAUACACUUUGAAGGUUUGGAGUCUUGAUUUGGGAUACAACUAUCCUCUUCAUGGGCAUUCGAGCAAAGUGAACUGCUUGGAUUUCUUCACAUGCCAUGAUCAAGAAUUUUUGGUUACAGGGUCAGAUGAUUGGACUGCCAAGAUAUGGUAUUUGCCACAGAAGAUAUGUGUGUAUACACUUGAAGCUUUUGUAUCUCCAGUUAAGUCUGUCCUGUACCAGCCAAAUCUUCAGAAUCUAAUUAUAGGUUCAAACGAUGGUGCUAUUUAUUUGUGGAGAACCAAAAUUUGCAGGAUUUGUUCAUGCCCUCCCACACUUACAAGAAUCAUCAAGAUUGGUUGUGUUGGAGGUGCUUACCAUCUUGCAUGUGUGAUGAGAAGCAUUGUGAUUGGAGAAGGAAACACAGUGGCAUUUAUGGAUAUCAAUAAUGUGCAUUAUCAUGAGCAAUUAACGGAUUACAACAAGUGGCAGUUAAGUGCAGACACGAGACAACAUGUUGGAGACACAACUUCUAAGUUGAACUCACUAAAUUUGUUUGGAGGGGACAUUGCAGGGUGCAUCAACCCACGGGAACUCCGCUUCCCAUAUAAUCCUAAUGAUCCCAUCUCGUGCUCAUUGUACCUAACAAACAACACAAAUGAAAAUGUGGCAUUUAGACUUGUGGACAAGAGCCGCAAGUCCCCAUGGUGCUUCACAAAGCUUCCAUUGUAUGGCAUUGUGCCUCCUAGGUCCACUUAUACUUUGAUUGUGACAACAAAAGAGGAGAUGAGGCUGAAGGAAAAUAAAGACUUCGAUCUCGUUAUUCAAAGCAGUUUAUUGGGAGGUAAGUACAUCAUGGUAUUCCAAAACCAAUCUGAGUCUGAUCAUUUUUUCGAGGAAGCCAAAGAGUUUGGGAAUAUGGUGCAUGAGGUGAUAUUGGAAGCCGUUUAUCAGCAGUACAAAGAGAUCAAAUCUGAGGUUCAGAAUAUAUCGGUGAAGUAUAAUCCUGACGAUAUGCGGUCCAUAGAUGCACAUCCAACACAGCCAUGGGUUUUAACAGGUCAUAGAAAUGGAUAUGCUUGCGUAUGGAACCAUGAGAUGAAGUACCCGACGAAUUCGUUUAAAGUCGCGGAGGUUGCAGUAAAUAAUGUCAAAUUUAUUGCAAGAAGGGAAUGGAUUAUAGCUCAGACACAUAAAGAUGUCCUCCAUCUGUAUGACUGUGCGUGUGUGAAGAAAAUAAAAAAGAUCAAGAGUGUUGAAUCUAGUGUACGUCCAUCCAACCGUCCAAUACUAGCCGUUCAUCCAACCCUACCAUGUGUGUUGUCGUCCUAUGGUUGUUUGCUACUAGUUUUAGACUGGGACCAGACCUGGAAGCCGACAUAUUAUGGGACUUGGGACGGGAACCUGUCUCCGAGGAGGAGGACAGUCGCAUUUAACCCAUGGGACCAGAACUGUUUCGCGAGUGGGUCUUGUUAUGGCGAAAUAGAGGUUUGGAGGCUUGAUUCCAACACCCCCGAAUAUUCUUUGCCUGGGCACUAUGAUAUGGUGAAUUGCCUUGAUUUUAUCAGACGUGGAGAUCAGCACUAUUUGGUCAGUGGCCAUCAGGAUUGCACUGCAAAGAUCUGGGACUUGCAGAAAAGGGAGUGCAUCUGUACGCUACAAGCUAUGUCUCCAGUUCUCUGUGCCCUGGCCCAUCCAACCCUUCCUGUUCUAAUUACAGGAACGCAACAUGGCAUCAUUCAGAUCUGGAGCUCUGCUGAUUUCAGGCUCAAGAGAACCAUCAACUUAGGUGGUGGUGGAGGACCUGUUGUCGGUCUCGCCUGUUUGAUGGGCUCACAACGGAUUGUGAUUGGGCAAGAGAACGCAAUAUCUAUCAUGGAUUAUUUUCGGAGCCGGGGAAGGCGACGUGCCCGUGCGCUGGCGAAGCAAGCUGAAACGGAGCUCACUCAAGCCGAAGAAGAGGACGGCGAAACAGAGGUGCUCACUCGAGCCAAAGCAGAGGAGGCAGGUGCAAAGCAGCGUUGGGCAGAGCACAGCGAAACAGAGGAACAGGCCGCUACGCAAGAGCAGCGGUCAUUGCAACCGGGAAGUGCGGCUGAAGCGGAGUGCAGUCAAGCCAAAGGAGAGCACAGGGAAAGAGAGGAGCCGGCAGUGUUGCCACCCAAGAGCGGAUAUGCAAUGUCCCGGGUGGAGCACCGCCGCCGGGAGAAGCGACGGGCGUCACGCGCUCGUGCGCCGGCGAGGCGGGCUGAAGCGGAGGGCAGUACGACUGAGGCGGAGCCUGUGUUUUGGCUUUCGGUUUGUGAAUUUUCAAGAGAUGGCCGAAAUUCGGCUAUUUUAAAAAUCUCGUAA
rnacentral:rRNA from 1 species